CACACAUUAUUAUCUUAUUUACGCACAUAUCUGAAUUCACAAGAGAAAAAAAGAUACUAGGACCGAUAGGAAAAUAUGUCAAUUGUCAUAUUUAAUUUCAUGUGAAUUUGUACCUAGUAUAGACUCCAACUUCAAACCCCUGUUCAAACAAACUUCAAAGGCUGGAGCAGACGGCUAAGAAGAGGGCAGCAACGACUGAGAAGACGGAUGAGCGGCUGAGAAGAGGGCAGCAGCGACAACGACAGCAUCAAAGUUGGAGGCGACUGCAACUAGGGGACGGCUGUAGCAAGGGUGAUGGCAAGUGAAAUUUGAAGGUUUAUAAUCCAUUUCAGAUCUAUUCUUCAUCUUCAAAUGCUUUAGAGGUUUAGAAUGCUUUAAACCAAUUUGGAAGAGGUGACACUCAAGUAAAUACAAGCUAAGAAAAAGGAGCAAUAAAGGAUUAGAAAAAUUAUAAUUGGUCUUGAAGAAACAUUUGCAUCAGUCGCACUAGCAUUAUGUCAGGUGGGUCAGCAGGAGGUCGCCCUCAGUUUUUCUUAAACAUGACAUAUCUAGUGAAUUUUAUUAUCAUGUAUAAGACUAGUGUAUUUUAUAUGUAUAUAAAAAAAAGUGAACUAUUUGAUGUUGUGAGCU